UCAGUGGUUGAUAUUUGUGCUAAGAUGCAGC
rnacentral:piRNA from 1 species